rnacentral:rRNA from 1 species
UCGUCAGCUCGUGUCGUGAGAUGUGGUUAAGUCCCGUAACGAGCGCAACCCUUGUCCUUAGUUACCAGCACGUUAUGGUGGGCACUCUAAGGAGACUGCCGGUGACAAACCGGAGGAAGGUGGGGGAUGACGUCAAAUCAUCAUGCCCCUUAUGACCUGGGCUACACACGUGCUACAAUGGGCGGUACAAAGGGUCGCGAACCCGCGAGGGGGAGCCAAUCCCAAAAAGCCGCUCUCAGUUCGGAUUGCAGGCUGCAACUCGCCUGCAUGAAGCCGGAAUCGCUAGUAAUCGCGGAUCAGCAUGCCGCGGUGAAUACGUUCCCGGGCCUU